rnacentral:rRNA from 1 species
CAAAAACAUGGCUUUCUGAAAUAUAUUAAUAGAAGGUCUGGCCUGCCCGGUGGAAGUAAUUCUUAACGGUCGCAGCUACCACUGUGCGAAGGUAGCGUAAUAGGUCGUCCCUUAAUUAGGGGAAAGUAUGAAUGGUCGGAUGUUGGAAAAGCUUUAUUGGAAAAAUAAAUUGAAUUUUACUUUCCAGUGCAAAGGCUGGAAUUUUAUUAUUAGACGAGAAGACCCUGUUGAGCUUGGUAAGGUCAAUUCUUAUGGAGUUGGUUAUAUGUUUGUUCGGGGCUGAAGGGAAGGGAGAUAAAUGCCUUCUAUAUUUUAUAGAGAUCCAGUAUGACUGAUUAGUGGAAGAUAGUUACCACAGGGAUAACAGCGCAAUCAUUCUGAUAAGGCCAUAUUUAAGGAGUGGUUUGCGACCUCGAUGUUGAAUCAAAAUUUCUACUUGGUGUAGCAGCUUAGUUAGUGGGACUGUUCGUCCUUUAAAAUUUUACGUGAU